AGAUUGAACGCUGGCGGCGUGCUUAACACAUGCAAGUCGAGCGGUAACAGGCGUAGCAAUACGUGCUGACGAGCGGCGAACGGGUGCGUAAUACAUGGGAAUCUGCCGUUUUAGUGGGGAAUAACCCGGCGAAAGCCGGGCUAAUGCCGCAUAAGAGUCGUUCGGAUGAAAGCGGGGGAUCGUAAGACCUCGCGCUGAUAGAUGAGCCCAUGCCGGAUUAGCUAGUUGGUGAGGUAACGGCUCACCAAGGCGACGAUCCGUAGCUGGUCUGAGAGGACGGCCAGCCACACUGGGACUGAGACACGGCCCAGACU
rnacentral:rRNA from 1 species